rnacentral:lncRNA from 1 species
AGUCUGAUCGCUUGGGUUUCUUUGUUACUGGCUCUUCCAUAUCAUCUUCAUCUCCAUCAUCUGCAAUCAUUUUGUAUUUUGUAUGGAGGUUAGAUUUGCAGUUGGCACUACUAUGCCAAAUAACCAUUUUAUCCAAAUAAAUAUUUCUACAUCGCAUACUUAAUUAAACAAGUCAAAAUGGAAUUUCAAGGCCCAUAAUUCAGAAAAUGUAAAGUUUCUUUACAUUAUCUAGUGAACACCGAAAAAUGAGAAGUAUCUUCGCAAAUUAGAGCACUCUAUAACAUGCAAAAUUAAAAUCAGUAGAAACAAGGGAAAUGUUUACCAUCUUCAUCACCAAAGCCUUCAAAAUCUUCCAUAUCAUCCAUGUCACCCAUCUCGAAGAUGAGCAAUCAGGCAAUAUCACUGCUCACAACACAAUUUUGCACCAGAAUUAUCCCAUGCUGAAGGGAGCAGAUAAAUACUCUCGUGGACUGAAGAAAAAGUACAACUCAUAUCUAAAUGUCAA